CGCGGCCUAUCAGCUUGUUGGUGGGGUAAUGGCUCACCAAGGCUACGACGGGUAGCCGGCCUGAGAGGGCGACCGGCCACACUGGGACUGAGACACGGCCCAGACUCCUACGGGAGGCAGCAGUGGGGAAUAUUGCACAAUGGGCGAAAGCCUGAUGCAGCGACGCCGCGUGAGGGAUGACGGCCUUCGGGUUGUAAACCUCUUUCAGCAGGGACGAAGCUUACGUGACGGUACCUGCAGAAGAAGGGCCGGCCAACUACGUGCCAGCAGCCGCGGUGAUACGUAGGGUCCGAGCGUUGUCCGGAUUUAUUGGGCGUAAAGGGCUUGUAGGCGGCUUGUCGCGUCCAGUGUGAAAACUCGGGGCUUAACUGCGGGCCUGCUUUCGAUACGGGCGGACUAGAGGGAUGCAGGGGAGACUGGAAUUCCUGGUGUAGCGGUGGAAUGCGCAGAUAUCAGGAGGAACACCGGUGGCGAAGGCGGUUCUCUGGGCCUAUACUGACGCUGAGAAGCGAAAGCGUGGGGAGCGAACAGGAUUAGAUACCCUGGUAGUCCACGCUGUAAACGUUGGGCGCUAGGUGUGGGGGACCUCUCCCGUUCUCUGUGUCGAAGCUAACGCAUUAAGCGCCCCGCCUGGGGAGUACGG
rnacentral:rRNA from 1 species